UACGUAGGGUGCAAGCGUUGUCCGGAAUUAUUGGGCGUAAAGGGCUCGUAGGCGGUCCAUCGCGUCGGGAGUGAAAAGCUGGGGCUUAACCCCAGUCCUGCUUCCGAUACGGGUGGACUAGAGGUAGGUAGGGGAGAUCGGAAUUCCUAGUGUAGCGGUGAAAUGCGCAGAUAUUAGGAGGAACACCGGUGGCGAAGGCGGUUCUCUGGGCAUUACCUGACGCUGAGGAGCGAAAGUGUGGGGAGCGAACAGG
rnacentral:rRNA from 1 species